GACAGAGGGGGCAAGCGUUGCUCGGAAUCACUGGGCGUAAAGGGCGCGUAGGCGGGAUGGCAAGUCAGUCGUGAAAUCUCUCGGCUCAACCGAGAAGCGUCGGCUGAUACUGCCGUUCUUGAGGGAUGCAGAGGAGACUGGAAUUCCCGGUGUAGCGGUGAAAUGUGUAGAGAUCGGGAGGAACACCCGUGGCGAAGGCGGUUCUCUGGGACGGUACUGACGCUGAGACGCGAAAGCGUGGGGAGCGAACAGG
rnacentral:rRNA from 1 species